AGAGGGGACCGGAAGUUGAUUUUCGCCCCCCGCCCAGGGGCCGGAUAGGGUCUCCGCUGACUCCGUUUGGUUCCGGCUGCUGUCAGAUUCCGUCGUUGGGCCUGAGGGCUUGUUGGCCCUGGGGUGGGCUCGCCCCGGUACCGGCCUCACUCUUGUAGCAGCCUUGGGGAAACGGAGCGAAUUCCUGGUCUCCUAGCAACCAGGGACCGGCUGUGGACUGAAGGAGCUGCGGCGCCACAGUGCAAAUCGCUCAGGCGCUAGCCGGAACCCUUGAGCCCGGCCAAAACGGGAGCCUAAACUCUGCGCUUGGAAGAAUAAGCAGGAAAUGGCGGACGAGGCGUUGUUUUUGCUUCUACAUAACGAGAUGGUUUCUGGAGUGUACAAGUCUGCGGAGCAGGGGGAGGUGGAAAAUGGACGCUGUAUUACUAAGCUGGAAAACAUGGGGUUUCGAGUGGGACAAGGAUUGAUAGAAAGGUUUACAAAAGAUACUGCCAGGUUCAAGGAUGAAUUAGAUAUCAUGAAGUUCAUUUGUAAAGAUUUUUGGACUACAGUCUUCAAGAAACAAAUCGACAAUCUAAGGACAAAUCAUCAGGGCAUCUAUGUACUUCAGGACAACAAAUUUCGUCUGCUUACUCAGAUGUCUGCAGGAAAACAGUAUUUAGAACAUGCAUCUAAGUAUUUGGCAUUUACCUGUGGCUUAAUCAGAGGUGGCUUAUCAAACUUGGGGAUAAAAAGUAUUGUAACGGCUGAAGUGUCUUCAAUGCCUGCCUUUUUCUAGGGGCACCUGGGUGGCUCAGUCGGUUAAGCGUCCGACUUCGGCUCAGGUCAUGAUCUCGUGAUUCGUAAAUUUCAGGUGAUGAUACAGAAGCUCUAAAACAUACUGAAAUGCAAGGCAAGGCUUCAACAGUGUAAAGAGAUAAAUUAUUCGUGUAUAAAGUAUUUCAAGUAGCAAUGAUUUAAUUACAUUGUUGGACAUUUGUAUUGAUAUAAGCUAUUUGCUAAUUUAUGUAAUGAAAGAUGCACUCUUAACCAGGAGUAAGAUUGUAUUUUAUUAAUUUAACACAGACCAAGUUAAAGCAGAUAAAGACACAUUCUACCAUAACAUAGAUUUUACUAAAACUAUUCAGAAUGAAAACCUGAUUUCAAACAACUAAACCCCAAGAUUUAGAACCCUUAUUUUAAACAUUCAUAUUUGCUCAGACUGGUAUGUAUUUAACCACAGAUAGAAAAGCAAAACUCAGGGUUUGAUAAAUUAGCAUUAAGAAAAGUAUGCAUCAGGGGUGCUUGGUUGGCUCAGUUGGUUAAGUGUCUGACUUUGGCUCAGGUCAUGAUCUCGUGGUUCAUGAGUUUAAGCCCUGCGUUGGGCUCUGUGCUCACAGCUCGGAGCCUGGAGCCUGCUUCAGCUUCUGUGUCUCCCUCUCUCUCUGCCCCUCCCCCACUAGCACAUGCGCACAUGCUCUCUUUCUCUCUCUCAAAAAUAUAAAUAAAACAUUAUGAACUUUUUUUUAAUUUAAAAAAGUAUGUAUUAGUCAGAAUCAUUUCUGUAAAAAUGAGCAAAUUUCAGUUUUGCUUUAUGAAUUUAUUUUAGUUAUUUAAGAAAAGCAAACAGUACACUAAACAUUUUUUAUUUUAUUAUAAUUUAUUUCUAUUAAGAAUUUUUAUGCCUAUGAAAAUUUUAUAUACAUUGUGUAUUAUGUGUGUGAUACAUAUAUAUACUAUAUCUAACCGCCUAAAUUGCAAAAAAGUUCAUUUUACUUUAACAGAAUUUAGUCCUUAAUUUUACUUUAAUAGAAUUCAGUCCUUGAGAACUCCAUUAAUGUAAUUAAAGUGUAAUAUAGAUUAGUUUAAAUGUGAAUUCAGUGACUCCAGGGCCAAAGACUAUUAGGCAUUUUAGGAAGGAAUUUUAUACUUAACUCCUGUUACAGUUUUGACUUUCACCUUUUUUCCCCAUGUGUGGAAGGACUGGUGAAGGUUCUAACAUCCUUAUUUUUAUUCCCUAAUUACUAUUUCCCAAGAGCAGAGGGGUGGAUAAUUGGCUUAGUCACACCAACAUUCAUUGAACAAUGUCUAUUCAGUGGGUUGGGUCAGUGCUCAUUAGUGUGUCUAUCAUCUCCUCUUCCAUCUGAUAACCGAGAGAAGACAAGCGUGAAGAUGAAAGUCAUCACAUUGAGGAUAGCACGAUGCAUCAAUAGGAAGCACCUUUAUUGUGCUUCUGAAUUAACCAAUCCUGGAACUGCUUUACCUUUGGACUUUUUGUUACAUGGGAUAAUAAAUUCCUUAUAUUGCUCAAUCCA